GCACAAGCAGCGGAGCGUGUGGUUUAAUUCGAUGUUACACGAAGAACCUUACCAGGGUUUGACAUGCAAGUGGUAGGAAGCCGAAAGGUGACCGACCCUUCGGGAGCUUGCACAGGUGCUGCAUGGCUGUCGUCAGCUCGUGUCGUGAGAUGUUCGGUUAAGUCCGCUAACGAGCGCAACCCUCGCUGUGUGUUAUAUGUGUCAUACGAGACUGCCGGUAAAAGCCGGAGGAAGGUGAGGAUGAUGUCAAGUCAGCAUGACCUUUAUAUCCAGGGCUACACACACGCUACAAUGGUCUGUACAAUGGGUAGCCAAGCCGCGAGGCGGAGCCAAUCCUGAAAGCAGGCCUCAGUUCAGAUUGCAGUCUGCAACUCGACUGCAUGAAGCCGGAGUUGCUAGUAACCGCAGGUCAGCAAUACUGCGGUGAAUACGUUCCCGGGUCUU
rnacentral:rRNA from 1 species